UGUUUCUGGUAAUUGCAGUUUGGAGUCAAGAUAUUCGUAUUGACUUCAUAUAAGGAUACAUGUUACAUUGAGAUUCUACCAUGCGUUCAAAAGUCAAAGAGAAUCAUCUUCUUGAGUUUUUGGGCUGAGGUGCACUACAAUUCAAUUUAUCCUGAAAGAGAGCUGCCAAUAAUGGAGUCCAAAAAGAAGAAGAAAUGGUGGAUGCUUGGCGGUUGAAUGGCAUUUGGACUCAAAAACGUUGUACAUGAACUUUGUAUUAUUAAUGAGAGAAUUAGGACGUAUAGAGUUCAUAUUCUUUUGCAGUAGUUUACCAUUCUUUCAGUUACUUUGUCUUCUCAAAAACUAUGGU